ensembl:lncRNA
CCUAGAAGUGAUCAUCUCAGAUUCCUAACCUUUCUUUCUCUGCUUCCAUGACCAGAUCUCCUUGCUCUUUGUACUGUGCAAGGACGUGGAGCUGUGAAGUCUUUGCAAAACAGCAGCUGGAGUUCAUGGCAGAGCUCAAACAUUUUGAAUCUGUGAAUUUCUCAUACAAGGUUCCAGCUGCUUCCAGGGAGUCAACUCAGUGGGAGGAAAAGAAAAAAGAAGGAAUGUUCUUUGGGUUCUGAGCUGCAGAGAAACAAGGAUGCUGUCAAGAGUGAGGCCACCGUGUCAGUGGUUGUGGCUUGGGACUCAAGAUGCUCAGCUUAUGUAAGGUGAACUGAGAUGAAACACCUUGGUGGCUGUGUUCUCUUUAAGAUAUAUGAGGCACAGAUAAUCAAAACCACAGACACUUCCCUGAGCGGUGAUGUUUGCUAACUCACAUCGAGGCUCUUCCUGUUUCUGCCUUUCCUUAAUAACAAGACCAUUUAAUAUCAGUAAAAAUAAUACCAUCUAAGGAAAUACAUACAUAUGGGAGCAUUGCUUUUACUCGAGCACGGUUUUGCGUGAUACCAGUUGCCAGAUUGACUUUCCUAAGUACGGGAGGAUGCAGCGUAGCUCAGUUUGUAGAUAACUGUACAGAGAGAUGGGAUGAUAAGGGCUUUAGUUCCCACACUGCUCUGCUGUGGGGCAGCCAGCCCCUCUCACAGCUUCUGUUUCCCUUCCUCUGCCUGCUCUGUUUAUGUUGUGUGUUCUCAGGCUGUCUCCCUGCAUGUACAGCCCAUAACAUGAUGGGGUCUUCUCUUGGCUGGGGCCUUGGGAUCCUUAGGUAAUGCAAACACUAAUUAAGCAGUGAGUCAUACAGGGAGCCAUAAACAUCGCUAGGUAACCGAGGAUGAGACAUGCAACUGCUCACAGUUUCACCCACAGUUUAUUCAUAGCGACUGCAAACUUGCAGAUGUUAUAUACUAUGUUGGUGGUUUGAAGCCCACUUAAAAAUGAAGAUGCUACCAAAAAGCAAUGGGUGCUUUCAGAAAAUAUCCUAGAUGAUGCAUUCUUGCUCUGUCUUGUCUCAGCUGUAAAACACACUUGCAUUCAGCCUUGACCUAACGCAGGCACAGACUGUGUAUGUAAUUUCAGCACACUGAUAACUGUGCAGCAUGCUUUGCUAUGACAGACCCAAAGAAACCCUACUGCAGAUACAAAUUCAAUGCAAGUUGAGAGCCAAACCACUUGUACAUCCCAGAAACAAAAACACUGUGGGAUUAAAAGUGGUGUCAAUUAGGUAAGACUGAAUGCCACUGAGUGUGAAUAGCUGGAGCAGAUGCAGCAUUAUGGGCUUUCAUUGAAGGCCUCAGGUUCUGUGCCCAGAAUCAAAGAGGUGCCUUGCCUAUCAAACUGCAAUAAGUUCAGUCCUGAUGCUUUACAUUGAACUCAUUUUCUCCUGUGAUAAUGCAUUGCCUUUGUUUUGGGUGCAAUCUAAUGCACCUUUCAGUAUCUGUCUGUGAGAAAUAUAUAUUUAAAAUAAUAGUAACAAUAAUAAGUGGUAAUUGAG